rnacentral:rRNA from 1 species
GACAGGGAGGACAGGUGGUGCAUGGUUGUCGUCAGCUCGUGUCGUGAGAUGUGGUUAAGUCCGCAACGAGCGCAACCCCUACGUUUAGUUGCUAACGCGUGAAGGCGAGCACUCUAGACGAACUGCCGUUGACAAAACGGAGGAAGGUGGGGAUGACGUCAAAUCAUCAUGCCCCUUAUGUUCUGGGCUACACACGUGCUACAAUGGCCGGUACAGACGGACGCAAAGCCGCGAGGUGGAGCAAAUCCUAAAAAGCCGGUCUCAGUUCGGAUUGCAGGCUGCAAUUCGCCUGCAUGAAGUCGGAAUCGCUAGUAAUCGCAGGUCAGCAUACUGCGGUGAAUACGUUCCCGGGCCUU